UACGUAGGGACCGAGCGUUGUCCGGAUUCAUUGGGCGUAAAGGGCGCGCAGGCGGCUUGGCAAGUCGAGUGUGAAAUCCCUUGGCUUAACUGAGGAACGGCGCUCGAAACUACCUCGCUAGAGGGCGGGAGAGGGAAGUGGAACUCUCGGUGUAGGGGUGAAAUCUGUAGAUAUCGAGAGGAACACCGGUGGCGAAGGCGGCUUCCUGGCCCGUACCUGACGCUGAGGCGCGAAAGCGUGGGGAGCAAACAGG
rnacentral:rRNA from 1 species